GUACACUCCUACGGGAGGCAGCAGUGGGGAAUAUUGCACAAUGGGCGCAAGCCUGAUGCAGCCAUACCGCGUGUAUGAAGAAGGCCUUCGGGUUGUAAAGUACUUUCAGCGGGGAGGAAGGCGAUAAGGUUAAUAACCUUGUUGAUUGACGUUACCCGCAGAAGAAGCACCGGCUAACUCCGUGCCAGCAGCCGCGGUAAUACGGAGGGUGCAAGCGUUAAUCGGAAUUACUGGGCGUAAAGCGCACGCAGGCGGUCUGUCAAGUCGGAUGUGAAAUCCCCGGGCUCAACCUGGGAACUGCAUUCGAAACUGGCAGGCUAGAGUCUUGUAGAGGGGGGUAGAAUUCCAGGUGUAGCGGUGAAAUGCGUAGAGAUCUGGAGGAAUACCGGUGGCGAAGGCGGCCCCCUGGACAAAGACUGACGCUCAGGUGCGAAAGCGUGGGGAGCAAACAGGAUUAGAAACCCCGGUAGUCCCAUGA
rnacentral:rRNA from 1 species